UAGGGAAUCUUCCACAAUGGGCGAAAGCCUGAUGGAGCAACGCCGCGUGUGUGAUGAAGGGUUUCGGCUCGUAAAACACUGUUGUAAGAGAAGAAUGACAUUGAGAGUAACUGUUCUUGUAUUGACGGUAUCUAACCAGAAAGCCACGGCUAACUACGUGCCAG
rnacentral:rRNA from 1 species